UUCUUAAGUUAGUUGACUGUGGAUACAAGCCCUCUCAGAUAGGGAUAGGCUUUAGUGCUGUCAAGGAUGUCUUUUAGCUUCUGUAAUUCUUCUCAGAGCUCUCUCUGCGAAAUUCUGAAUUCUUUGUUGAAUAGAUCUCAGAAUUCCUUGAUUUGAGUUUGUACGUUAUGAUUGGAGUCCUGAAGCACCUUCAUAAUUAUCUUUUUUUUUUCAUAUUCCAACAUGUUUUCAUAAUCCUUAUGGAGAUAAAUAUUUGUAUUUUUCCCCAUGUUUUUGUUGGGUGUGUUUUCUGCUUUUCAACCUGCAGGAGGCGCUGUGGUGGUGUGGCAGAUGUCUGCGGCACAUUUCCAUUGACAGGUUAUGUUAAUACCUCCAACUCAACAUGCAUGAAACUUCUAAGAACUCAAGACACACGUCAGAGUUGGCUACUGAACUGCACUCCUCUUACAGUAUGAUGGUCCUGUCUUGAUCUUAUUUCCCAUGAAGAAGAAACCUCUAUUGCUGACCCUUAACCGCAGCAGGAAAUACAGAAAGGAAUCAGGACACUGGAGAGGUGGGAGUUCCAGGACACAUUGGUGAGGUUGUCUGCCCAGGGAAGUCACAUUGGAGUCAUGGUAGCAUCUGCAGCUUGGUCUCAGAAUUUCCUGAUGCAUGUAGCUAUAUUACUCUAUGCUAUCCUAUUGUAAUAUAAUACAAUACCAAUAUGCUACAAAAAUUAUUUCUGUAGAACUUCCUUUU